rnacentral:rRNA from 1 species
CACGCAGGCGGUCAUAUAAGUCAGCUGUUAAAUGUAUGGGCUUAACCGAUGCAUGCGGUUGAAACUGUAUGGCUGGAGUACUGGAGAGGUAAGCGGAAUUCCCGGUGUAGCGGUGAAAUGCGUAGAUAUCGGGAAGAACACCAGUGGCGAAGGCGGCUUACUGGCCAGUUACUGACGCUGAGGUGCGAAAGCCAGGGGGAGCGAACC